UACGGGGGGAGCAAGCGUUGUUCGGAUUUACUGGGCGUAAAGGGCGCGUAGGCGGCCUCCGCAAGUCAGUUGUGAAAUCUCCGAGCUUAACUCGGAAAGGUCAACUGAUACUGUGCGGCUAGAGUGCGGAAGGGGCAACUGGAAUUCUUGGUGUAGCGGUGAAAUGCGUAGAUAUCAAGAGGAACACCUGCGGCGAAGGCGGGUUGCUGGGCCGACACUGACGCUGAGGCGCGAAAGCGUGGGGGAUCAAACAGG
rnacentral:rRNA from 1 species